rnacentral:rRNA from 1 species
UACGUAGGGUGCAAGCGUUGUCCGGAAUUAUUGGGCGUAAAGAGCUCGUAGGCGGUCUGUUGCGUCGGCUGUGAAAACCCGGGGCUCAACCCCGGGCCUGCAGCCGAUACGGGCAGACUAGAGUUCGGCAGGGGAGACUGGAAUUCCUGGUGUAGCGGUGAAAUGCGCAGAUAUCAGGAGGAACACCGGUGGCGAAGGCGGGUCUCUGGGCCGAUACUGACGCCGAGGAGCGAAAGCGUGGGGAGCAAACAGG